UGGGGAAUAUUGCACAAUGGGCGAAAGCCUGAUGCAGCGACGCCGCGUGAGGGAUGACGGCCUUCGGGUUGUAAACCUCUUUCAGCAGGGACGAAGCGCAAGUGACGGUACCUGCAGAAGAAGCACCGGCUAACUACGUGC
rnacentral:rRNA from 1 species